CAGUCGCUCUCCCUGUCUGGUUAACGAUGCCAGUAGCGGCCUGUGUUCGAUGGCAAGGACGUGGCAGGUAGAGGCCGCAAGGGGGUUUUCGCAUUCGAUAUUACAGCAGCGCUAGUAGCAGCGUAACGAUGACGGGAGCUCCUAUCAGAGGGAAACUGCAAGGCUAUGGGCAAAAUCGCCAUUCGCUAAGUCGUGCCCCUUCUACCUCUUUUUUCAUUUGCAUUAAGUCGCACGUAUUAAGUUGUUAGGAACGACAGCGCACUCGAAGGCAGUCUGCGUUGCUUUGUUUCAUAGCACGAAAUGGAUUCGACAACGAUCACGAUGACGGUCGCUACGGCCAUUGUUGCUGCUGUCGUUGCUGUGGUCCAAAACCACUUUGAUCGCCGCUCAAGCCAGCGCACUCGCCCGCCUGCUCAUGCGUCAACGGCUGAUACAACAAUACGAGACCGUGCAUAGAUCCCGCAGACAGCGAAUGGAACACCGCCCUUUGGAACCUGCACUGUGCCUGUCGUAGUGUGUGAUGCGUAUUGCGGAGGCGUCAAAUACUGCAACCGAACAUGCUGGCACUGUCAGCUUACCCUCUAACAUGGCAAUAGGUAGAUACUACUCAUUGUCGAGAUCAAAACGCGUAAAAACAAACACGAAAUCGCUCGUAGACAAUUAUGGUAUGCCGGUAUGAGGCUGACGUUGUGCCGAGAGAGCGACAGAACGAAAACGUAAAAUGUGCGUCGUUGUUGGAAAAAGUGAGAUAAAUCGAAAAAAAAGAGGUUAAAGGAAUCAAAUGCCGCUUUACAAUCGCAGCAGAAUUAGAUCAUGCUUCGCACAUCAGCAGCAGCAGCAGACGGCAUCCUCAUCAUCAUCAUCACAGUCAGCAGCGAUGUGAUCAAAAUGGACCGUGGUCGGCCACUGUUUAGCAGCCCGUAUAAUAUGAGUGCAAGCAUGUGUUGUUUGUAUUCAAAUGCUACAGGAACUGCACUAAUGGCGACUACGACAACAGCAACACCGUGAACAAAAAUAACAACGACAACAACACCAAAAGGCACUGCUGCCCUAAUCUUCCUUUUCAUGGAAACACAGAUCAGUUGUUCUAUGCAUUAGCCGUCGCUACGUCGGUUUAUGGCAGCCAUGGCACGAGCGGAUGCCGCGGUGUUGCAGGGCUACAAUGGCAAUGCGGAGACAAUUUACGUACGGCGGUUAACGCCGGAAGACCACCGAGCAAAACGGAACCUUCACGUCCGUGUUGCUGAGAGCGAGAGAGAAACAUUGACAAAGAAGGCGAAGAGCGCAAAAAGAAAGUGGUCUCUGUUGAGACCUGUUUCUAUGGCUGCCAGGCACUUUUAAGAGGUAAAAGGCGGUAAACCGCUAAUGCGUGUUCUUUCUUGCAGACAGCCUUACUCCUUCUCGUGGCAGUCCUGCCAAUCUAAGUAACUUCUCCUGCUUGCUCGACUCGUUGUGACCGCUUCUCGAUGGGAAGACCACUCGGUGCUGAUCGUCCAUGACACCCAGAACGGCUUUGCUACGACCGCGAGCCUAGACACGCUACGUCUUGUGCGGCAUGCGCAGCACGCCCACUAACAUGCUCACUCCACAGUUGCACAAGGCACUUUACCAUUUCUUCAUAGAAUCGACAGCUGUCAUAAGAGCUAUGAAUAGACGUGUUUGAGUUCUGCUACAAGAUCGGACGACGCUGGUGUCGGCUGUAUCCCUAUCUCCGUUAGAACUGCGAAGCGAUCAAGGAACUAUGGCAGGCACAAAUGAAAAUACGGGUAAUAAGUUGGUUGGGUGAAGCUGUAAAUUUGGCCUGCGAUCCUUUCUACAACUUCAGCAUUGUUAAUGUAAUUGCUAGCUCUAAUGUGAGAUCAUGGAUUGUAAUUUGACGUUAGGCGGACCUUGCAGUAUUAUAAAGACGUCGUUCGCUCACUUGUAGGCCUUACUACACCUACAGCCAUUGUUUGUAAAAACGAAGAGAAAGCAUAAACGAGAUGGAAAAGAUCAGCGAUGAACAAAAAGCUGCUGGCGGUGUUUUUUAACAAUUUCUUGCUGCCUGCGAUUCCAUAUCGUUGCCAUGGAACAUGGUAUCGAUGGAGAGAACCGUUAUGCGUGUAGCCUCAUUUGCGGAGGUUGUUUGCGCUGCGGCGGGCAACGAAGUAGAUACCACAUUGGUCAAUGUUCAGACAGCGUGUUGGCCGGGUCUAGUCGUUCAUCUCAUCUCUUAUCAAAAUUUGCUUACGCGUCGAGGCGUAAUAGUUUUAUGUUGACUGUCACAGCCGUUAAACGUAACGGCUUAUUGGACUUUUUCGUUCGUUGCUUCUUCGGCAUGAGGUCAAGAAGAAAUUGAACAUGUGAUUAAUUAUAUUGGGUGUUGCUUCAACGAAGUAUAAACAUCGGGCCCUGCUAACACCUGUCGGAUGUGGAGGUAACACGCACGUUUGCAACGAAAGUAUACGUCAUGAGCGGCAUAUUUACGAUUCAAAAAGGCUGGGUAAAGUGAUGUCAGAGAUCAUGCAAAACACUACUAAACGUGUACUCUCUAGUGGAGAGGUGUGCUUCUAAAAUACCCGUUGUAAAAAACAAUUUCUACGAAUUUCUACGGAGCCUCUUGUAAGUCGGAUUGUGGCGUUGGAUGCAAAUGUUAAACUGCCGAUUGGAAACGUUCUAUUGUUAGGCGCCUACAAAUACAUCGCAUUUGAAACUAUCUUCAACGACCCUAAAGUUGACGUCGAUACAAAUCACGCAGUUUUAGAAAGGCAUCAUUGUCUGAUCUUGAAAUGAAAUGGCAAGUCAGCAGAGUGAUAUCAGAUGGCUAUCAAAACGCGGGAUUCUACGCUGUAUAGACACGAGGUAUUAUAACCAGUCGCCAUUUGUCCCUCUUGAUGGCCGCUAAUGCUACCGCACACGUCCGAUAGGAGCGCCGAAGAGGUCGUACGUAUUUACCAAGGGUGGAUCCAAUCGUAAGCAGCGGCGGGUAGCUCUUUUCCACGCAUUGCACUGACCUUUUGGCUACCGGGUGGUCGGCUCUAGGAGAUGCGAAACUAAAGGCAAUGUCCCUGCCAUACCAACCUCGAAAACGUGUAAUCACUGGAAGAUGUUGGGUGUUGGAGGGGCAUGACCCGUAGA